UACGUAGGUGGCAAGCGUUGUUCGGAAUUAUUGGGCGUAAAGGGCGCGUAGGCGGUUUGCUAAGUCAGUUGUGAAAGCCCGGGGCUCAACCCCGGAGGGUCGGCUGAUACUGGUGGACUAGAGUACGGAAGAGGUAGCUGGAAUUCCCGGUGUAGCGGUGAAAUGCGUAGAUAUCGAGAGGAACACCUGCGGCGAAGGCGGGUUGCUGGGCCGACACUGACGCUGAUGCGCGAAAGCCAGGGGAGCGAACGGG
rnacentral:rRNA from 1 species